AUUGAACGCUGGCGGCAUGCUUUACACAUGCAAGUCGAACGGCAGCACGGACUUCGGUCUGGUGGCGAGUGGCGGACGGGUGAGCAAUAUAUCGGAACGUGCCCAGUCGUGGGGGAUAACGUUGUGAAAAUUACGCUAAUACCGCAUACGACCUAUGGAUGAAAGCGGGGGACCUUCGGGCCUCGCGCGAUUGGAGCAGCCGAUAGCGGAUUAGGUAGAUGGUGGGGUAAAGGCUCACCAAGCCAACGAUCUGUAGCUGGUCUGAGAGGACGACCAGGCACACUGGUACUGAGGCACGGCCCAGACGCCUCCGGGAGGCAGGAGUGGGGAAAUUUGGACAAUGGGCGCAAUGCUGAACAGCCCAUUCCACGUGCAGAACGAAGGCCUUCGGGGUGUAAACUGCUUUUAUCAAGUACGAAAAGGUUUCUACUAAUACUCGUAGCUCAUGACGGUACUGUAAGAAUAAGCACCGGCUAACUACGUGCCAGCAGCCGCAGUAA
rnacentral:rRNA from 1 species